AUCAAUAUAAGGAACCUAAUAAGUCUUCCAUAAAAAGCUGUGGUGUCCACCUUGUAAUGCCACCCAAUGAAGACGUUUCUAUGAAGCUAAUCCGUGCAGAGAACCUCACCAGUGAACUUUCUCAUGAUGAACUUGAAAAGGACUUCUGGGACAAUUAUCGUCCCAAGUAGAGGACUGACUGCAAAGAAUUAUAUACCGAUGCACAACUGGAGAAUGAAAAGCUGUAAUUUUUACUGAUGCAGCAUAGCAUUGUCUGGACCAGUGUUACGAAUACAGAUUUGGGUUGAUGGGAACAAUUUUGAGUCGUUUCUUGUUGCUGUGGUGGUUUUGGAGGACAGGACAGCCAGCUGAACAUCAUUUCAUCGAUGACUGUGGAUCACUGUGUCAAAAUCUGAGGGCAAAAUAUGAACUUUGGAUGAGUUUCGAGAGGAUACAUGCAAGAUUGGCUGUCCCACUGUCC